GACCACUCAAGCUUAGCUUGGUAUUGGGGCACGCGGUUCCGCGGCCCUCAAAAACAGUGGCGGCGCCAGUGGGCUCUAAGCGUAGUACAUACUCCCGCUAUAGAGUUCCCCCGGUGGCUCGCCAAAAUCCCCCAAUCUUCUCA
rnacentral:misc_RNA from 1 species